GGAUUUGAGGGCGAGCUGGCUCUGCGACAUCUGUCACCCCAUUGAUCACUAGGAUUGAUUUGGCUGAUCUGGCUGCCUAGGCGGGUGUCCACUCAUCCCACACCCAUCUAUUUGUAUCCCUCCCUUAACUGCGUGCUGGGUCAGAGGACAGCCUUACCCCCAGAGGAAAGGACUGGUCUUCCGUCAAGGGUAUAUGAGUAGCUGAGCUUCCCUGAUAGAACCUUCAAACAAGCUCUCAAAACAUGCCGUCUUCAUCACUUUAUAGUUGUUUUUUUAAGUAAGAGCAGAGUAGAAGGAUGAAAUAAUAUGCAAAUAUCAGAUACCCCACAUUGUGUUUUAUUU
rnacentral:snRNA from 1 species